rnacentral:rRNA from 1 species
GCCUAACACAUUUGCAAGUCGAGCGGAGAUAAGUGAAGCCUAGCGAUUCUUAUCUUAGCGGCGGAUGGGUGAGUAACACGUGGGUAACCUGCCCUGCACUGGGGAAUAACAGCUGGAAACGGCUGUUAAUGCCGCAUAUGCGCACGGAGCCGCAUGGCUUUGGGCGGAAAGAUUUAUCGGUGCAGGAUGGGCCCGCGCCGGAUUAACUAGUUGGCGGGGUAACGGCCCACCAAGGUGAUGAUCCGUAGCCGACCUGAGAGGGUGACCGGCCACAUUGGGACUGAGACACGGCCCAAACUCCUACGGGAGGCAGCAGUGGGGGAUAUUGCACAAUGGGGGAAACCCUGAUGCAGCGACGCCGCGUGAAGGAUGAAGUAUUUCGGUAUGUAAACUUCUAUCAGCGGGGAAGAAGAUGACGGUACCCGACUAAGAAGCCCCGGCUAACUACGUGCCAGCCGCCGC